rnacentral:lncRNA from 1 species
CCUAUAAAUCACGAGAGAUACUCUUCUCUAUAUUUGUCUCAGUGUUUUGGGAGUUUACAGGCUGUUGGAAGAGGAAUCAGAGAGACGAUCUGAAGGCAGAAGCAGAGAGGAACUCAGACGUAUUUCAUCAUAGGAACGUAUUUCAUCAGGAACUACAACAUUGCAGAAAGAUGACAAAUGGCAGUCAGGAAGAGGGACUAAGAACAACUCAACCAACAAACAUAGAGAAACAUCACACCUUCAUCUAACAUCUGCUCAUACCUGUGGUUCAGAGUUCCAGCCCCUACCCCUCUCCCCCUAGUUCC